AGAUGCAAAGAUAGGUAGUAUUCAAAUCCAUGUUCCUCCCUUCUGGGGAGACGUGAGCCCCAGCCCGAGGAUAGAUGGAGGAGAUUCCUCAAGGCCCCUUGUACCUGCUCCUAGCAGAGUCUCCUUCCCUAUCUCCAGGUAUGUGCGGAGCGAUUCCACACACUCGCUGGUCAAGUAGGAUCGCCUUUGCUCGGCGACAUCAGCCUCCUCCCACUUGCUCAGCGUGAUUUGCGCCGCCGCGUCGCCUGCGGUCCAGGAGCUCAGGUCCGGGUUUAGGGCGAGGUAAUCGCGGCCGUCGUAGGCGUGCUGCUCGUACCCACGGAGGAAGAGUCCCUCGGGCCCCACGUCGCAGCCGGACACACACUGAAAGACGUGAGAGCCUGGCCCCGCCCCCGGUCUUAUUUGAACCCCAAACCGUAAGAUACACCGCCACGGGUCCCCUAGGUUCAGGGUCUCCGCGAACUCCACAGCCUCGAGCCUGAGUACCCCGGAAUUCGGUGUCGUCUGUGAGGAUGAGGAGUCGUGACCUCAGCCCCAGCCCUGGGAUCACUCACCAUCCUCGCUAUGGUUGUAAACGCCCAUAGCCUCCUUCAAGUUCACUCGGGAAUUCUUUGCAAUGUCCUUGACUGUCCGGGUCUGCCGCUCCCAAUACUCGGGCCCCAUCUGCUUCACCCACAGCGCGCGGGGCUCCAUCCUCUGACUUUCCCGCUGGUUGUUGUAGCACAGGAACUGUGAGUCGUCCACAAAGCCGACGAAGAUGAAGGCAGGCUCUCUCAAACCAGGCUGGGACAUGACGGUGGCAAAAAACUGCAAGGAAUGGAAGCCUGGGGAAUGGAGGAGGGCGGUGAGAUCCAGACCCUCCUCCCGGAAUCUGUGGCGGUGCUCGGGCGGGAGGGGAGCUGGGAGCAGCAGGGCUUAGGAUGCAGAAUAGGGACAGGAGCGGGAGGGUCUGGCUGGGAAGAUUCGGAGACCCGGUUUCCGGGGUACUGUCCCCGCCCGACGCCCUUGCUCUUCCAGACUUUGGCAGUUUCUGGCCAGCACUCACCUGCCUGGACCUGGGUCAAGGCCAAAGCUCCGCUUUGUGGUUUCUGGGGAGAGACCAUGGUGACUGAGCUUUCUACAGAAUUCAGACAUGCAGUGGGAGUGAGGACACGUGUUCAGGCAGAAGGACCCAGACAGCCGAGAAAGGUGGUGAGCUGGAGAAACCCAAAGCUGCCCCUGACCACCGGAGAUUCCUGUUCUGCCCACAUGACUGACUCAGGUCUAUAGGAGCGGUUUUGAAGCCACAAGAGGCAUUCAGAAACUUCUUCAGUUCCAGGAAGGACCUCAGGAACGAGCCAUGACAACUCCAACGGAUACAGAGCAGUGUCCUCCUGCAGACAUCCUGUCUGCAGUUUACCGCCCUUGAAGAUCUCUAGUAAUCCUGCUGAGAAGUCCAGAUGAUCCUGUUCAGUAGAUUGUGGUUCCCCACCAAAAGUCUAACCCAAUGGUUUCAAAUGGUUUUAUGCCCAAAGUCUAGACCAAUAGUUUCAAAAAAUUACCUCGCCCCUUAUUCCCUUCUACCCAAUUCCAAGUUGCUAAUUCCUGGCUUGUGAUUUUUCCCGAUAAAAACUCUCCACACCUGGGCUCACGGCCGCCACAUUUCCUUCCAUCUGCCAUGCAGUGGCCCAGGUUGAACCUGAA